rnacentral:rRNA from 1 species
CAGUAGCCGCGGGAACACAGAGGGUGCGAGCGUUAAUCGGAUUUACUGGGCGUAAAGCGUGCGUAGGCGGCUUCUUAAGUCGGAUGUGAAAUCCCUGAGCUUAACUUAGGAAUUGCAUUCGAUACUGGGAAGCUAGAGUAUGGGAGAGGAUGGUAGAAUUCCAGGUGUAGCGGUGAAAUGCGUAGAGAUCUGGAGGAAUACCGAUGGCGAAGGCAGCCAUCUGGCCUAAUACUGACGCUGAGGUACGAAAGCAUGGGGAGCAAACAGGAUUAGAUACCCCUGUAGUCCCUGUCUCUUAUAU